CCCAAGCUGAGUGGCAGACACUGAGAUGAGUGUGCAGGUAGUAAAACUGUUCUACUGAGUAAUGUUAAUCACACUAAGGCAUAACUAUAAGUUGUGUGUGAUGUACGUUGCUAUACACCAGAAAGUACAAGUAGCAUCUGAAACAAGGAAAUGGUCCUGGUUGUGCUCAAGGUAAACGAAAUAAAUGACAGUAUUUCCAAUUCAAGCAGUUGAUGAGUUACUACUCCAGGUCACAAGAGAGAUGAACUCUUACUUAAGGCAUAUUAGAGAAGCCACUCAUCCCAGGCAGUUGUCUUCCCUCAGUAGCAAAGUUUUUAAAAUUGUCUUAGUUGUUUCCCACAGCCCUGCUUGCAAAGGUGCAAAAGAAAUGCCUACUUUAGUUUUUGCAAAUAUCCUAUUGCAGUAUAAACCUGUCAUUAAUGUCAUUAUCUUGAUUUAUCCUGCUUGGAAAGGGAAUAAAGUAAAAUCCCUGCUUACUGAUUUGUGUAGCAUAUAGUAAUUAGACAUCUUUAGAGGGGCUCUUUUGAAAUAUAUCUGAGUUUGGGAAGAAAAAUACGAAGCAAAGGAAUGGAGUUUGUAGUAUUCAUGGACUCACUCCAUAAGAAUAUGCAAGCCCAGUGCCAAAUGCCUCCACCCAAAUACCCGAGACGUUACUAAUUUGAUAAGAGUCCUUUUCCUGUUUUUUACUAGCCUGUGCAGUUUCUCAAGCUAUCUGUGCUCCUUUCCCACGAAGAGCAAUUUUAGUGGCACAGAACAUGUCUGCAAAGCAAAAUGAAGGUGUAGUUGCAGCACAGACAGGGUAUGCCUGAAGAUUCACACAGAAAACCUGGAACCACAUUUUUCCUCCUGCUGCUGUACCUGUCCAAGCAAAUGUGCCUGUUGUCUUUCCUCCUGACCUGUAGACACCUGCUGUGGAGGCGGCACUUGGUGCUGGCACUUGGGGAUGGCUGAAUGCAGUUGCCUGGCCCACUUCUCCCACCAGUGUUUUACACCUUCCAUGGCUCUUACUUUGUUUUGAAACAACAUGCUCGGGUCUGAAAAGAUACAACUGGAAAGUGAAACUCUCUGAUGUGGUGCUCCUGGCUCUCUGAGUGGUGAUGCACACCAUCAUUUCCCAUGGUGUCUUGAACCUCUGCCCAGUAAGUGAGAGAAAAGCUGGAGAGGGUAAAAAGGUUGCACUCAGCAAUUGAAUUCUAAUGAUAAAUGUGAGUACAUUCUCAGGCACAAAAUUGUUCCGUCCUCUCUGUGCUGUUUUGUACCAGAAGGGAAUGUUACCUGGAGAAUAACUUCAGGAAAAACAGAAAAAGAAAAAACAAAACUGCAUGUUUUCUUUCCUUUGGAGGGAGAGUGUAUGUGUAGUGGUUUUCUCUUUUUUACACUGAUGUAUUUCACAAAUGUUCCUUCGCUACAUACUUUCAGCUGGUGAAAAUUAUUUUUCCUCUGGGUCCAAAAAAGUUUCAAGUAGACCCUGAAUUAAAACUAUGAGAAAGUCACCACUGCAAAACUGGAAUUUUAAAACCAAUGUUUUUGCAAAGAAGAAAAAUAAGUGUGUGUGCCCUUUGGCUGAUCUGUAACCUCAGCAUGGUCCUGUCAGCAUUCCUUUUUUUUUUUAACAUGCAAAAUAUUUUCCAAACUCCCAUCCUGUUUUUUUAGGAACUGUGUCAGACUGCAUGCAGCUUCUGAAACUAAGGCAGUAACAGUGUGGCACUAUAAAACUUACAUAUUCUAUUUCAUUGAAAGUAUGUAAUGCCCAGAUGGUACAUCCUGAGUACACAGGAAAAUGAAGUAAAUUAAACAGAGCUGAUGAGAAAUGUGUUGGUCUCACGGUCUCAAGACCUGCUGCUUUUAAUCCUGCUCUUUCCCUUGGUUCUCUGGUAAGACACUUUACACGCUUAAAGAUUUGUUCCCGACUAAUGUUUCUCAGCUGACCCUAUGGAAAAGACCCGAACCAACCCAAACAACGUGGGGAAGAUGUAAAUGUUCAACUCGAGCUGUGACUAUGGCCUGGUUUCUGUACCUGCAGGGGGAUUGUGCCUGGGUUUAUGGCUGGCUCUGGCUGCCCUAGCACAGAGUGCUCAGGUGCAGAUGGGCAGUGCAGCUCUGUCACUGCAGUGCUGCACACACUGAGAUCAGGCAGCUCUCACCUCACUUGACAAAUAACAGUACUCUGAGGACUGCUAGACUCACCAAGACCAAGCAAAAAAAUGUAUGAGGGCGAGGAGACUGUAAUAACCGAGUUCAGUGACUCUGUGACAACCAAGGAAGUUCCCACAGCAGUGGAGCCACUCCCUUUGCUGGCAACUGGUUAAAUGGGUGAGAGUUUUUACUGCCAUCUACUGUGCAAAUGCUUCAAGCCAGAGAGAAAUAAAAAUUCUGUCUCUUGGUUCUCAAAUAAAUGAAAUGGCUUCUGAAAAGAGAGAAAAAGCAGAGCUUGACUUCUGUCUACAUCUAAUAUUCUCUUUAUUUAUCUUCUUUUCUAAUUCAGAAAUAAUUUGGGUUUUUUAUUUCCUUCCUGUGCUGAUAGUAGAAACAUCAGGUUUGAUCAAGGUAAUUGUUAUCCCUUCACUCUUUGCAUUUUCCAUCAACAUGAAUUUUCCACAUAUCUAUGUAUACAUAGAUAAUAUUUUUAAUUGCUGUUUUCCUAUUUUUCUUCAUUUUAUCUAGUACAAAUACAAAUUACAGUCCUUUUUGACAACUUUAGCUCUUCCCUGGUAAUUAUAUUCCAUUAGAUUCAACACUUUUAGAUCCAGAAAUCUUUACAGAGGUUAGUCUUUAAUUAUUGGAAUCCAGUUGGAAUAAUGGGAAUCCAUUGGAUUAAUGGACCAUUUAAUUGUUUCACAAUAAAUCCAAAAAAGAAAAUGAAGGCGCUUCCUUACACUACUACUUUCUUCAUUUUUCAGAGCUCUUUCCUACACAUUCAUCCUACAAGCUUCAGUCUGGGUCUGUGGCAGUUACAAAUGGUAUUUAAUCAUAUGAAAGAGCAGAGAUGGGCUCGUGAUUUCAGGUCAGAGCUGCCCUUUAUCAGGGGAAUACUAAUGCUAAGCACUUGUUUUCUAUCUUUCAAACCUGACAUGUUCUUUAUUAAAAACAUUACCCAUUUUUUCAAUGGAAGGGUUACAUUUAGGGGAGUGCCACUGCAGAGUUUGUCAGUGAACUAGAAAAGCGAAUGAGAUCAUCACAGCAAGAAAUAAUGUGAUCAAAGCCCAGACCUACAAGCAGGAACAGCCAUAAUAACAUGUUAUUAUUGCUGGGACAUCAGAAUCCACAAAAGCAUUUGCAGAAUUGGAGGAGGACUGACAGAAACAAUGACGUUGUUUUCAAAAUUCCUGAUUUCUUUUUUUGGCCCAAGAGUUAUGUUUUAGGAAAUGUUGAUGAAGCCUCACAGUUUGCAAAUGCCAGAUGUUUCCACAAACUGGUGACCACCUGCGGCAGAGUACCUUUUGCUGGUGGGCUACAGCACUGCAGAACAGCACAAAAGCUGCUGCCCACCUUCCUGUGGUUCCCCAGCUCACAUCGUCACAGUGCCAUGAAAAAGCCAGUGAAUGCUGGGGCAUAAAACCGAAGAGCAAGAUAGCUGGGAAGAUACACCAGCACUUUGUUUGAAGAUCUUGUGUUAUUGAGCAUUUGGUGUUUGUCUUAGAGGCUCUAAAACCUUAAGGGAUUCUUGAUGGUGAGACUCCAGAACUGGGCCCAAAUGGAGGAGACUGAGCACAGCCCUGCCUUGCUGAGACACCCACUGUCUCAUCUGAUAUCAUCACUUUAUCAUCAUGAUAAAGACCUAUUCUUUAUCAUCUCAAUAAGGCAUAUCUCAACACAAAUCCAGCAAGUAUAGCCUGGCAAGGAGGCAGAGCAGGAGAAAAAUCAGCUGCUUUAGUACUAACCCAACCAUGUGGAGAUUUGUCCAUCAUGCCAGAGGGGUCUCCAGAUUGACUUUUCUGGUUAUGUUACAUAAAGAAGAUGGAUUACAGCUGAGACUCUGUGCCUGUACUUCUGAGUCACUGAUGGACAAGAAUGGAAGAAAAACUUUGUCUUUUUUUGUCAAAUUAGAAUUGGAUCAGCCUAGUGCUUGCUGUCCUCAUUUUCUAUUGCUACCAGUAGAAAAAGAGUAGAAAAUCCUCAAAACCUUGUAAGUCUGAUAGUUCAAUUCAAAGUUAGCAAACCCAGCAGUUUAGAGGAAGACAAAACAGAUACCAGCAGGCCAGGUUGUGCUACUGGACUUAGCACAAAGCUCUUCAUUAAGGCAAUCAGAGAAAAAUGGCAAGCUCUGUUUCUGGCCCAUUCAAAGUGUGAUGUCAAAGAGUGUUCAUGCUGAGCAGGUUAAUGUAGGAAUGCAGAGAAUCCUGCGGCAAAAUGCUUCCAGAGACAGUUUAACACCGAGAAAAUGAGUUGCAAAAAAGUAAAUACAUCAUCUUGUACCAGUCGGGUACUGUGAUAAGCAAUGGAGUUUUAUUGAGAAAGUACUAAUGAGCAAUAAAUGCCUGCAGUGAAAAGGGUAGCAUCUGGUCUGCAUUUGACUUCACACAUGAAAGCUAUUUGGCCUGACUUCCUGCCAAAUCCUGCUAUUUUUGAGAUCAUCAGGCACGAAGAGGAUUGAAAUCCCUAUGUUAGCAUCUCAAAGAAGUGAGCCACACUUGUAAGCAGAACUGGGGAGUCUGUCCUUCUAGAACUCUCUGGAUGCCAGCUGUGCCUUCCACACUUUCCUGGGCUGAAACCUGACACUACAGCUGGUGCUGCAAGAUUCAGCUACUGUAAGUAAUUCCUGUCAGACCUCAUUCAAAUAUGGUCAUCUUGCAGUUAAGAGGUUUUAUCUGGGUGUUAGCAUAGCUUGCUGUACUUCUGCCUGGCACAUGUUUAGCAGCAGGCUUUUUUCAUUUGAUUCUGCAAACAUUUGCUGCAGAGUGCAGAAUUAAGAAAUUAUUUUAUGGCUUCAACUA